AUUGAACGCUGGCGGCAGGCCUAACACAUGCAAGUCGAACGAGAGGCGGACGGGUGAGUAAUGUCUGGGAAACUGCCUGCUGGAGGGGGAUAACUCCUGGAAACGGUAGCUAGUACCGCAUACCAUCGGCUGUGCCCAGCUGGGAUUAGCUUGUAGGUGUGGUAACGGCGUCCCUAGGCGACGAUCCCUAGCUGGUGUGAGAGGUUGACCAUCCACACUGGAACGUAGACACGUUCCAUACUCCUCCGGGAGGCAGCAGUGGGGAAUAUUGUACAAUGGGCGCACGCCUGAUGCGGCAAUGCCGCGUGUAUGAAGAAGGCCUUCGGGUUGUAAAGCACUUUCAGCGGGGAGGCGUUACCCGCAGAAGAGGGACCGGCUAAGUCCGUGCCAGCAGCAGCGGUAAUAC
rnacentral:rRNA from 1 species